rnacentral:rRNA from 1 species
AUUGAACGCUGGCGGCAGGCCUAACACAUGCAAGUCGAACGGUAACAGGAAACAGCUUGCUGUUUCGCUGACGAGUGGCGGACGGGUGAGUAAUGUCUGGGAAACUGCCUGAUGGAGGGGGAUAACUACUGGAAACGGUAGCUAAUACCGCAUAACGUCGCAAGACCAAAGAGGGGGACCUUCGGGCCUCUUGCCAUCGGAUGUGCCCAGAUGGGAUUAGCUAGUAGGUGGGGUAACGGCUCACCUAGGCGACGAUCCCUAGCUGGUCUGAGAGGAUGACCGGCCACACUGAAACUGAGAAACGGUCCAGCCCCUUAGGGAAGGCAGCGGUGGGAAUAUUGCACAAAGGGCGCAAGCCUGAUGCAGCCAUGCCGCGUGUAUGAAGAAGGCCUUCGGGUUGUAAAGUACUUUCAGCGGGGAGGAAGGGAGUAAAGUUAAUACCUUUACUCAUUGACGUUACCCGCAGAAGAAGCACCGGCUAACUCCGUG